UACGUAGGGGGCAAGCGUUGUCCGGAUUUAUUGGGCGUAAAGAGCGUGUAGGCGGCCAGGUAGGUCUGCUGUGAAAACUCGAGGCUUAACCUCGAGCUGUCGGCGGAAACCAUCUGGCUAGAGUCCGGAAGAGGAGAAUGGAAUUCCCGGUGUAGCGGUGAAAUGCGCAGAUAUCGGGAAGAACACCCGUGGCGAAAGCGACUUCCUGGACCAAUACUGACGCUCAUGUGCGAAAGCGUGGGGAGCAAACAGG
rnacentral:rRNA from 1 species